UACGGAAGGCAGCAGUGGGGAAUAUUGCACAAUGGGCGCAAGCCUGAUGCAGCCAUGCCGCGUGUAUGAAGAAGGCCUUCGGGUUGUAAAGUACUUUCAGUCAUGAGGAAGGUGUUAAGGUUAAUAACCUUAGCAAUUGACGUUAGCGACAGAAGAAGCACCGGCUAACUCCGUGCCAGCAGCCGCGGUAAUACGGAGGGUGCGAGCGUUAAUCGGAAUUACUGGGCGUAAAGGGCACGCAGGCGGUUAAUUAAGUUGGAUGUGAAAUCCCCGGGCUUAACCUGGGAAUGGCAUUCAAGACUGGUUAGCUAGAGUCUUGUAGAGGGGGUAGAAUUCCAUGUGUAGCGGUGAAAUGCGUAGAGAUGUGGAGGAAUACCGGUGGCGAAGGCGGCCCCUGGGACAAAGACUGACGCUCAUGUGCGAAAGCGUGGGGAGCAAACAGGAUUGGAUACC
rnacentral:rRNA from 1 species